AACGAACGCUGGCGGCAGGCCUAACACAUGCAAGUCGAACGCCCCGCAAGGGAGUGGCAGACGGGUGAGUAACACGUGGGAACGUACCCUUCGGUUCGGGAUAACUCAGGGAAACUUGAGCUAAUACCGGAUACGUCCGAGAGGAGAAAGAUUUAUCGCCGAGGGAUCGGCCCGCGUCUGAUUAGCUUGUUGGUGAGGUAACGGCUCACCAAGGCGACGAUCAGUAGCUGGUCUGAGAGGAUGAUCAGCCACAUUGGGACUGAGACACGGCCCAAACUCCUACGGAGGCAGCAGUGGGGAAUAUUGGACAAUGGGCGGCAAGCCUGAUCCAGCCAUGCCGCGUGAGUGAUGAAGGCCCUAGGGUUGUAAAGCUCUUUUACCCGGGAAGAUAAUGACUGUACCGGGAGAAUAAG
rnacentral:rRNA from 1 species